AGGAUGCUUUCACAGAAUCACAGAAAUGUAGGGGUUUGAAGGGAUCUCGAAAGAUCAUCGGAUCUGACCCCCCUGCCAAAGCAGGUUCCUCAGAGCAGGCUGCCCAGGUAGGCGUCCAGACGGGCCUCGAAUAUCUCCAGAGAAGGAGACUCCACAGCCUCUCUAGGCAGCCUGUUCUAGUGCUCUGUC